UGAGUCCAGCAGUCCAGUUGCGGAUCCCCAAAGAAACCUUGCCUGAAAUGAUCCCAGACCUGACUCUUGUAAGUGCUUGUCAGUAUGGCGUCCAGAUCAGUC